rnacentral:rRNA from 1 species
CAGUCGCCACGGGAAUACGAAGGGUGCAAGCGUUACUCGGAAUUACUGGGCGUAAAGCGUGCGUAGGUGGUGGUUUAAGUCCGUUGUGAAAGCCCUGGGCUCAACCUGGGAAUUGCAGUGGAUACUGGGUCACUAGAGUGUGGUAGAGGAUAGUGGAAUUUCCGGUGUAGCAGUGAAAUGCGUAGAGAUCGGAAGGAACAUCUGUGGCGAAGGCGACUAUCUGGGCCAACACUGACACUGAGGCACAAAAGCGUGGGGAGCAAACAGGAUUAGAUACCCGUGUAGUCCCUGUCUCUUAUAC